AACGAACGCUGGCGGCAGGCCUAACACAUGCAAGUCGAACGGACGUAGCAAUACGUUAGUGGCGCACGGGAGAGUAACGCGUGGGAACCUACCUUUUGGUUCGGGAUAACAUCGGGAAACUGGUGCUAAUACCGGAUAAGCCCUUCGGGGGAAAGAUUUAUUGCCGAAAGAUGGGCCCGCGUUGGAUUAGCUAGUUGGUGAGGUAAUGGCUCACCAAGGCAACGAUCCAUAGCUGGUCUGAGAGGAUGAUCAGCCUCACUGGGACUGAGACACGGCCCAGACUCCUACGGGAGGCAGCAGUGGGGAAUAUUGGACAAUGGGGGAAACCCUGAUCCAGCCAUGCCGCGUGAAUGAUGAAGGCCUUCGGGUUGUAAAGUUCUUUUGGUGGGGACGAUGAUGACGGUACCCACAGAAUAAGCUCCGGCUAACUUCGUGCCAGCCGCCGCGGUAACAC
rnacentral:rRNA from 1 species